UACGUAGGGCGCAAGCGUUAUCCGGAAUUAUUGGGCGUAAAGAGCUCGUAGGCGGUUUGUCGCGUCUGCCGUGAAAGCCCGGGGCUCAACUCCGGAUCUGCGGUGGGUACGGGCAGACUAGAGUGAUGUAGGGGAGACUGGAAUUCCUGGUGUAGCGGUGAAAUGCGCAGAUAUCAGGAGGAACACCGAUGGCGAAGGCAGGUCUCUGGGCAUUAACUGACGCUGAGGAGCGAAAGCAUGGGGAGCAAACAGG
rnacentral:rRNA from 1 species